GUGUGUCUGUGUCACGGUCUCUAAGUGUUGUGGUGUGUGUGUCUGUCUGUGUCAUGUAAUGUGUGUCUGUGUCACGGUGUGUGUGUGUCUGUGUCAUGGUCUGUCUGUGUUAUGGUGUAUGUCAAGAUGUGUGUGUGUCCUUUUUAAGGUGUGUGUCUGUCAUGGUGUGUCUGUGUCACGGUGUGUGUUUCUGUCUGUGUCACUGUCUGUCUGUGUCAUGGUGUGUGUGUGUAUGUGUGUUUUUACUCACCUUUUUUUUUCCCCACGUCGUGCUGGUCUCCCCUCGACUGGCCCUGCCUCUAAUCCAAUCCAAUCCGCACUGACACAGGAAGCACCUCUAGUGACCGUCUGAGUGUCUGUCACUAGGAAGCAAUGUAAACACUGCCUUUUCU